AGGACUCCAACUUCGACUUUUAAGAGUCUUAUGCUCCUUAAAGGUCUUAGACCUUUAAUGUCGUGCGCUAUAAGAUUUCUCUUCAAAGUCCUGCUUAAUUCCUUGUGGCAGUGCAAAAAUUUCACAGUGCAUGAUCCAAUUAUCAAUGUGUUCUAAAACAACCGUUGUCACAAGGAACGAACCAUCAACCAUCAUAUGAUAGUUAACUCUAGCCUUGCAAUCUACCCCUUUGUUUUAAUUUCUAG
rnacentral:lncRNA from 1 species